rnacentral:rRNA from 1 species
AAUCAACGCUGGCGGCGUGCCUAACACAUGCAAGUCGAACGCGAAAGCCCCGCAAGGGGCAAGUAGAGUGGCAAACGGGUGAGUAACACGUGGGUGACCUGCCUUCGAGUGGGGGAUAACGUCCCGAAAGGGUCGCUAAUACCGCAUGAUAUGCCGCCUUUUAAGAGGUGGACAUCAAAGCUGGGGAUCGCAAGACCUGGCGCUUGAAGAGGGGCCCGCGUCCGAUUAGCUAGUUGGUGGGGUAACGGCUCACCAAGGCGACGAUCGGUA